GACGAACGCUGGCGGCGUGCUUAACACAUGCAAGUCGAACGGAAAGGCCCUGCUUUUGUGGGGUGCUCGAGUGGCGAACGGGUGAGUAACACGUGAGUAACCUGCCCUUGACUUUGGGAUAACUUCAGGAAACUGGGGCUAAUACCGGAUAGGAGCUCCUGCUGCAUGGUGGGGGUUGGAAAGUUUCGGCGGUUGGGGAUGGACUCGCGGCUUAUCAGCUUGUUGGUGGGGUAGUGGCUUACCAAGGCUUUGACGAGUAGCCGGCCUGAGAGGGUGACCGGCCACAUUGGGACUGAGAUACGGCCCAGACUCCUACGGGAGGCAGCAGUGGGGAAUAUUGCACAAUGGGCGGAAGCCUGAUGCAGCAACGCCGCGUGCGGGAUGACGGCCUUCGGGUGGUAAACCGCUUUCGCCUGUGACGAAGCGUGAGUGACGGUAAUGGGUAAAGAAGCACCGGCUAACUACGU
rnacentral:rRNA from 1 species